rnacentral:rRNA from 1 species
GAUGAACGCUAGCUACAGGCUUAACACAUGCAAGUCGAGGGGUAGCAGGGUAGCAAUACCGCUGACGACCGGCGCACGGGUGAGUAACACGUAUCCAACCUACCGUUUACUCGGGGAUAGCCUUUCGAAAGAAAGAUUAAUACCCGAUAGUAUAAAGAGUUCGCAUGUUCUCUUUAUUAAAGGAUUCCGGUAAAUGAUGGGGAUGCGUUCCAUUAGAUUGUUGGCGGGGUAACGGCCCACCAAGUCUUCGAUGGAUAGGGGUUCUGAGAGGAAGGUCCCCCACAUUGGAACGGAGACACGGGCCAAACUCCUACGGGAGGCAGCAGUGAGGAAUAUUGGUCAAUGGGCGUUAGCCUGAACCAGCCAAGUAGCGUGAAGGAUGACUGCCCUAUGGGUUGUAAACUUCUUUUAUAAGGGAAUAAAACGGGGAACGUGUUCCCCUUUGCAUGUACCUUACGAAUAAGGAUCGGCUAACUCCGUGCCAGCCGCCGCAGUAA